rnacentral:rRNA from 1 species
AUGGAGAACUGGCUCCCUAUGGCCCUCACCGGUGUGCCACGCUCCUGGUUGCUUAGCCCGCCCGAGUCCUUGGUGGCCUCCUGGGAGGAGCUGCACGCCUUGUUCAUCGUGCGCUUCGCGGCACCGGCGCCCCAUGCUGUUGCGGCCAUUCUUGGCAGGUCGCAAGCGCCAGCCUCAAGCCGCCACGUCAAGCAGCUCUUCCGGCAGGUGAGGGCCGCCCAACCACGACAGGUGGCUCCUCUAGGCCGGGCCACGCCUGAGACUGACAUCACCUUCGACUUCAAGGUUCACCCCGAGACUACGGUUGGCGCUGGUGCGCUCCCCAUGUUGUGCACGCCUACCAUCAGGGUGUCGCGGUCACUAGGACCCUCAUCGAGGGCGGUGCUGGCCACAACGUCCUCUCCGUAG